AGCCAACUGCGAACAGGGGACGUUUGAAAAGGAGCAUUGUUCUGGGACAACGAAACGCGAUUUUCAGAAAAGAAGCUACUGGGACAUCACUUUCUCAGGGACGCAAGUUCUGUUUUACCUGUAAAAGAAGUCAACCCGGAAUCAGAAGAUCAUUACCGAGUGCCUUUGUCGACAGAAGUUCAUUUAGUUUGUUGAGGUCUCGUUUGACCUCUUCUCUGAGAAAAAAUUCUCAGAUUCUAAAUGCAACUGUUGGACCAGAUGAGCCACAUGCUGCUGGAACAGCCUGGCCAGAUGGCAUCGUUGCGGAGAGACAAGAUCUAGACUUAUUGCCCCCUGAGAUAGAUACUACAG